rnacentral:misc_RNA from 1 species
UCUCCGUUGGUGAACCAGCGGAGGGAUCAUUACCGAGUUUACAACUCCCAAACCCAAUGUGAACCGUACCAAACUGUUGCCUCGGCGGGGUCACGCCCCGGGUGCGUCGCAGCCCCGGAACCAGGCGCCCGCCGGAGGGACCAACCAAACUCUUUCUGUAGUCCCCUCGCGGACGUUAUUUUUACAGCUCUGAGCAAAAAUUCAAAAUGAAUCAAAACUUUCAACAACGGAUCUCUUGGUUCUG